rnacentral:rRNA from 1 species
UAGUCUGAUGUGAUCCUUAGGCCCAACCUCGGAACUGCAUUGGAAACUGAUUUACUUGAGUGCGAUAGAGGCAAGUGGAACUCCAUGUGUAGCGGUGAAAUGCGUAGAUAUGUGGAAGAACACCAGUGGCGAAAGCGGCUUGCUAGAUCGUAACUGACGUUGAGGCUCGAAAGUAUGGGUAGCAAACGGGAUUAGAUACCCCGGUAGUCCAUACCGUAAACGAUGGGUGCUAGUUGUUAAAAGGUUUCCGCCUCCUAGUGACGUAGCAAACGCAUUAAGCACCCCGCCUGAGGAGUACGGCCGCAAGGCUGAAACUCAAAGGAAUUGACGGGGACCCGCACAAGCGGUGGAGCAUGUGUUUUAAUUCGA